GCAACACUGAAAGGAGUUUUUUGGAGGAAUUCCAUCUUUGUCCUGAGUUAUUAACUUGUCUGAAGAAUGGCAAAGGUAGAAAAUCUGGGGGACAGGAAGAGAAAUCAAAACUGCCCCCAGACAUCAGAACUACCCAAGAAACGCUGCCUCAUUUCCCGGGAAGGAACGUUGUUCAGUUUACUGUAAAUCUGCUGAUGAUUCUGUGAUCACAGCCAAAGGUCAACCCACUCUUGGUGGUUCUCUGAAAUACAAUCUGAUGGUUCAUCUCAGAAAACAAAAAUACCGUGAGAAGACACUGGGGAGAAUGAUUUACAAAAAACCUUACAACCGGAAAAGGUGAAUUUUGGUGACAUUUGAAUCUUCAUUGGGAGCAAACUGGAUCCAGAUUCCACCACGGAAAUCUUAAAGUGCCAAAGAAAAACAAGGGGCAAGCUGAGUAAGGGCAGAGCUGAAGAGGUGUCAACGCCGCGGCCGAGAACGCUCGAGGAGGCAGGGAUGGUGCUCCAGGGGCAUGGCAGGCACAGCAAACGCUCUCCUCCAGGUUGGCUACUCCUGACUAAACAGAGCUUUCAGCAGGAAAAGCCAAAAUCUUGCCCAGAGGCAGUGCAGUGCUCCAGAUGAGUCCCAUGCCAGCUCCAGCGGGUGAGCUGUAUCCAGCCUCAGAGUCGAAGCAGGAAUCAAUGGAAAACACAUUGAAAAGAGGAUUGUGUCCAUCUGGAGGAGGAUUGACCUCCAUUUCCACACUGGGAAGAUUGAGUUAUACCAGUUUUGCCUUUUGUUACCCACCUAAGAUGCCUGUGCAGAUUCAACAGGAUGUUGACCUGGAUCUCUCAGAACAGCUCAUGGAGAGGAAAGACCCUCUGACACAAAACCACGUCACUGGACAGGGAACUGUCAUGUCAGGGAGGGCAUCUGGAAGAUCAAAGUGGGAAUAAACCAAUCCCUCCAAGCUGUGUGGCUUUGCAUGGCUGAGUUCUGUUUCCAGACGUUUGCAGCACAGCUCAUGUUCUUUCCUUAACAAGGAAAGAACUUUUGUGUAAAAUUCAGUAAAUCGAAAAAGCUGGGUCGUGUAAAAUUCAGUAAAUAAAAAAGAAACCCAGACCAAACAUCACGGGCCUGUUGGGAAAAAACUGGAAUUUAAUUUCUCUUCUACAGACCUUUCCCAGAAAAGCCAGGCAUGGGCCAGCA